CCUACGGGCGGCAGCAGUGGGGAAUCUUGCGCAAUGGACGAAAGUCUGACGCAGCGACGCCGCGUGGGUGACGAAGGCCUUCGGGUUGUAAAGCCCUGUGGGGAGAGACGAACUGGCUCACGGCUAAUAUCCAUGAGUCUUGACGGUAUCUCUUUAGCAAGCAUCGGCUAACUCUGUGCCAGCAGCCGCGGUAAGACAGAGGAUGCAAACGUUGCUCGGAAUUACUGGGCGUAAAGCGCGCGCAGGCGGUCUCGUAAGUCGGGUGUGAAAGCCCCGGGCUCAACCCGGGAAGUGCACUCGAUACUGCGAGACUGGAGUACUGGAGAGGAGAGCGGAAUUCUCGGUGUAGAGGUGAAAUUCGUAGAUAUCGGGAGGAACACCAGUGGCGAAGGCGGCUCUCUGGACAGAUACUGACGCUGAGGCGCGAAAGCGUGGGAAGCAAACAGGAUUAGAUACCCUUGUAGUC
rnacentral:rRNA from 1 species